UACAAUAACUAGGGGUGUCCAACGUAAUUGGACUGAGAUGGAAUGAUUGUACACGCAUUCCGGACUCUUUGGACCUGAUCUGGCUCGUACCAGCGUAGGGAAGUUUUCAUUUUAUCAG
rnacentral:ncRNA from 2 species